UACGUAGGGGGCAAGCGUUGUCCGGAUUUAUUGGGCGUAAAGAGCUCGUUGGUGGUUCGGUAAGUCGGAUGUGAAAUCUCCAGGCUCAACCUGGAGGGGUCAUUCGAUACUGCCGUGACUAGAGUUCGGUAGGGGAGUGUGGAAUUCCUGGUGGAGCGGUGAAAUGCGUAGAUAUCAGGAGGAACACCGGUGGUGUAAACGGCUUUCUGGACCAUAACUGACGCUGAGGCACGAAAGCGUGGGUAGCAAACAGG
rnacentral:rRNA from 1 species